UUUUAGUAAGGCGUUCACAUUCUGAAAUAUAAAAUUAUUGAAAUAAACAAGGCAAUAUUGUUGAACGUUGGAUCGAUGAAGCAGCUGACCGUGUUGGAUGUUGGUUAUCCACGCUUAGUCAUGGAAACAGUGACAUUUACGAACUCAGUCUUCUCUCUGGACAUGCGAUCAGCCACAAUCUUUUGGUACCUGCUGAACACUUCCUCUAUUAUUCCAUCACCGAAAUAGCUUACCAGCAAUGGCUCCGCCACUGCUCUCAUCAACUUGGCCACAUUGUACCCACCAUCUUCGUGAGCAUCUGAUGGGCAGAAUUCACCGUGAUACGCGUUCCAGUUGACUUCAGAAGCCUCCAGCCUAUUUAUGGUAAAGGAUCCUUCCUUUUCAACCUCACAUUUUACUUCAGCUGGGGAUGGUGUAUACUGAGGAAUAUUGAAGGAAUCCAUUUUCUCCUCCUCUACGAGCCCCUGCAUUUAAAAAUCUUUAAAUUACAUAUGCUAUUGCUGAAUGAUUUAAUCUAUACAACUUGGCAACAUUAAGGCUUGUAUGAAUUGAAUGUGCACCUCUGCCACCAUAUCGUUGAGAGCCACAGCUAAGAGCUCCCAAAUGUAGCAACAUUCUUUGCUAGAGGGAUCUUCACUUAUUCUUCCUAAAAAUGUUAAAACCAUACUCCCUCCUUCCAGUAGUUCCUCAGACCGACACCUGAGGAACAUGGAGAAAUCGGUUUGGAAUUGCUCAUAGUAUGCUUUAAGCACGCUUGGUGGGCUCGAACUUGCCAUGUAAAUGUUCCCUUUGUUACUCUCCAGUCCUCGAGGAACCUGAUGAACGAUUGAAACUUCUAACUUACAUGCUUUCUUCUUGGUUAAUACUAAAUCAUCAUAAACCAUUAUUUAAUUAAGGGCAAAAAGUCACCUGAGACAGCCAUUGGAGACUGUAAGAAGAAUGGACAAAAUGAAGACUUUUGCCCAGGAAGAGCCUGCCGUAGAAAGAACCUGGAACUCCGGUUACAAAACAUGAUUCAGCGCCUGCUCCCAUUGUUUUCUGAAGAUCUUUUUGGAAAGUGGGCAAGGAUUUGAAAAUGGUGUUGAAAUCAUUCCCCGGCAGAUCAUUCAAAAACACUUGAAUUUCGGGCAAUUCAUGCCCCAUUUUCUUGUGCACCUUGUCCACUGUAGUGACGAAUUCCAAGACUGCAAACAAAGUGUUGGGUCCAGAAGAACAACCCAAGUCUGCGAUACAUAGCCUGGCCGGAAAGUUGUUGCAGAAGAGAUUUGAUAUUGCUUCGUCGGUUAUGGGCUUUGUCAAGGAUAUUACUUUUUUCUGCACCAUUAAAGUAGAGUUUGUUAUUGAAAACUUUUAAAAAAAAACGGCAGUAUGUGACACCUGCAUGACAUAAAAACAAAACAUCGAAAAUACAUGGGUGCUAAUUAUCAAUCAGUAUGUCUCGACUAUACAUUCUUAUUCAAUAAAAGGAAGCAGCUCAUAUAUAUAACAUAUGCAUAAAUAUUGAUGAAGAAUUAAAUUCAGCAAACACACCUGAAGUAGUGAGUUUUGUGCGUAACUGGUAUCCCCAUUUCCUCCCUUCAUGCAAAGCACUUGCACUACUUCCAUCUCUCCCUUCCUCCCUCCUCGCUAAUUGCUCUCCCUCAGUUGGCAAUUGGAAUGUGAAUUGUGUUGAAGGAGAUGCUCCCUAUUUAUAGAGCUUGGAGUCAGGUCGUUGUGGAAUUAAUUAUUUCAUCUUCCAUGAACUCUACUUCCACGGAACCCCGCCAGUCAUUAUUGGUUGAUUAUUCAAGAGAGAAAGUUUUUGGGUUGUUGGGAUACAUAGUCCAAAUUAAAUCGGAAAAUUAACCUCUCCUUCCAAUUUUUGUGAGAAACGACCCACUUGGACACUUCUAUCCCUCUUUCAUCUACUUCCAAACAUUAUCUUCUCACUUAUUUUAUUCAUUAUAUAACACAUUUAUCUAUUUUAUUUUACUUUUUACUUUCAUAACUAUUUUAUUUCUCAAAUAACUUAUUCUCGCUUUCAUUUCAAAUGUUUAUUUAAUUUACAAAUUUAAUAAAUUUUAAUUUUUUAUUAAGGAUGUUCACUUGAACCAUAAGCGAGUUAAAUUUGACUUACAAAAAACUUAGGUGGUGUUUAUUUUUUUGGCUUUUUGCUUAAAACAAUUUAGCUUUAGAAUUUAGGUUGUUUGUUUUUCUAUUUUUUUAUGACUUAUUAUAAAUUUUUUAUUAAAUAGAAAAAGUCAAAAUAUGUAGCUUUUUCUAAAUAGAAAAAUAGUAUAUUGAUUUUUUUUACUUUUUAAUACUUAAUAGAAAUAAAAUACUACAAAAACAAACAAUCUAAUACUUAACACUAUUAAGUAUUAAGGUUCUAUUUAGAAUUAAGUAAAAAAACAAACACCACCUUAAUUAAGAUUAAAAUUUUCAAUUAUAAUAGAAACCUAAAUUAUAUCAUAAUUAAAUUUUAUUUACAAGUAAUUUAACUAGGGUUAAAAUUUCAUUUUAACUAAAAAUUAAUAACUUGAUUAUAAAGACGUAAACUAUAUAUAUUGUUGUUAAGUUUAAUUAAAAAGAACUUAAUUAAUGUUAAAUUUUUGUUUAAUCUAUAAAAAAAAUGUUUAAGAUUAGAUUCUUAAUUAAAAUAUUCAUCUGAACUAUAAAAAAUCCCAACAAAAAAAACUGUAAGAACAACCAAAAAAAACUUCAACCAAAAUCCCAACACAAAAGAAUCUCAACCAAAAUCCCAUCUGACAAAAAGCCCUAAUAAAAAAUAAUUACAAAAAACCCUACCUAAAAAUAAGUAUAAAAUAUCCUAACCAAGAUGUCACUGUUAAAAACCUAACCAAAAUCCCAACAAAAAAAACAUCUAUAAAAAACCACAAUAAAACAUCAACUAAAAAAAAUUAUAAAAAAUCUCAACAAAAAAAUUGCAAAAAUCCAAACAAAAAAAAUCACUAUAAAAAAAAUCACAAAAACCCUAACAAAAAAAUAAAGAAGAAGAUGAACGAUGUUAAGAAAAAGAAGGAUGAGAAAGUUGUGGCUGAUUUUUAUGGGUUGAUCUUUGUUAUGGAUUUUUUUAGAAAAUUCAUUCCCGAAGAAAACUAGUUUCAGAAAUGAGAGGGAAAUGUAAUUUUUGAGGAAAUAAAAAGGAUAAUAAUGUCCAAAAUAUGUCAUUUUUUCAAAGAAUAAAUGGGAGAUUAUUUUUCCAAUUUCAGAAGUAUCGGAACACUGAUGCUACAUGGUGGGUAGGACUCCUAACAUGCAUCUACCAGAACAGACUAUACGCAAUAUAACGCGCCUCAUGGCAUGCCGUUCGCCAAUGACUCGUGUGUCCCCUUAUGGUUCAUCUCCAGUCCUGGAGGCCUCAGGCUACCUACUGAAAGAGCAACAAGUAAAUCCUAUUGGUCAGAUGGGGAGGAUCCUACAUGAUAGCGUGAGGUUCGUUUUACAGUAUUCUAGCUUAAUACAAUAUGUUUAAGAAAAAACUAAAAUUAUUUGUCACUCCUAGAUUUGUAUGUCAAACUAACAUUACAUAGAAACAGAUUAAUAAAUCAGUCCAUGUGUAGCUGGCGUUUCAUCAGGUACUGAUCAUUAUUGGGCGGUGUUGGCUUCAUAUAUUAAAAUGAUGACACGUACCAAGCGAAAUAAGAUAAGUUCUAGCUUUUUCCUAUUAAAAAAAUGUGACGUUGAUGUUUCAUAUGAUUCAUAUAUAUCUACUCAAAUAAUUACACACACAAAAAAAAUUAAAAUUAAAAUUAAAAUUAAAAUGGGUCUACUUACUUCCUUUGCGUACACGAAAUUUAAAGCAAGUGACAAUUGACAAAAACAAUACUCGUAGCGUGGCCAUGAAACACGAUGCUGAAAAAGUAGGGGUAGUAGAAGGUGACGCUGGGUGCAUGAGUUGGCCACUAGUAUUACCAUAGCCCGGUCCGCUUAAAACAAAUUGGGAUUAGAUACAGCAGCCACAGAAUACUGAUGGUAGCGUGACGCUUUCUUAACAACCCUGCAAACGUUUCUUAGCUGACGUUUCCAUGCAUGACGCAGCCUCAUUUUUUCUUUAACAUAAUGUGAAGACCAUGUCCUUGCCGUCUCUUUCAAAAUAAUAUUCAAUCAAAGAUGCCGACCGACUGAAUUACUUUAGUUGAAAAAUAGGUAUGUAUAAAAAGCUAUGCGCUUGUAGGAAAGACCUGAUCCACCGAAUGGACCAGGUCUAGUUCUGAUCCCAUGAAUAUUAGUGUAUCAGUUGGCAUCUUAUUUUGGUUAAUAAUUUUUUUUUCAUUUAUUCUAAGGAAAACUAGUUUUCUUCAAUUAAGCCAGAUAAUUAUCCUUUUCUACAGUGUUUUCAUAACAAUGGGAGGUACAAAGACAGUGUGAGAAAUCUUAAUUUGAAUCCAAUUUCUAUCAUCCAAAAAAUAAAUCAAUGACCGCCCAUCUUACAAUCAUUUUGAAUGAUCAAUUGACACACAUUAUGAUAUCCAUAAAUAAGAACGAGUAAACACGUGUUUUUUGACAACUACAUAGUUCCUUGGUUGAGGAGCCUAAUGUGAUACCUAAAUUAGCCUUCACAAUUAAUUCAACCAUGAGGUGUAGGUUCUAAAGGCUUUCAAAGCCAAGGUGACUAACUAGUUAGUAGGUGUGACACAUAUUUUUCACAUGCAUCUUUAUGCAAUGGCUAGAUUGUUACAUUGGAUUUGGAAAAUAAUUUAUGUUUUGGGGUGACUAUUAUUUAUUUAAAAUUUGAUUUUUAUUUGUUUUUGUAAUCACCCUUAUUUUAUUUAUUUUUUAAAGCAAAAAAUAAAACAAUAAAGAAAAAUAUCAAUUAAUAAUAGAAAAAACAUAUUAACAGAUGGAGAAUGGAUUAUGGGGUCAAGUUAUCUUGUGGGAAGGUAUUAGGAAUGUCAAUAUGGCAUGAUUAUAACAUAUUUGUUGGGAGUUAAUAGAAAUUCUAGAGAGUAUUCACUUGCAAAUGUUUAACAAAUCCUCCACAAUAAUAACAAUCUCCCAAGAGAGAACAAUAAUAGUGUAAGAACAUCCAAGUAAAAUGAGACCAAAUAUAACAUGGAAAAAUCCUCCUAAGAGAGAUAAAAAACUAUGGAAAAAAUUUCUUCUAAUUCGAUAAAAAUAGAACACAAAUAAAUUCCCAUUAGUUUAUUCAUCUUGAUAACUAGUUGAAAUAUAUAUUAAUUUUGAGGUGGAAUCCAUCACCUUAAAAAAAACAAAGAUCAUAGGAAAAGAAUAAAAGUGUUAAGAUAGAGUUAUUGAAAGUAUAACAUGAUGUAACAAAAUAAAAUUUCAUUAAUAUAUUUAUUUACUAUGAUUUCUAGUUCUCAUUUUAUAUUUUUUAUUACAUUAAUUAGUUGUUUAAACAUUUACACAUAUAUCACUUAUAUUGUACAUGACUUUAUUGUAUUAAGAGUUGUAUAAAUAAUUCAAGUCAUGAGUUCCUUAUAAGAUGAUGAGAAGUUCAUAAUUGGUUUGUGAAAUUAAGCAAUUUGUAAAAGAAUAUAGUGCACUACUUUCUAAUUAGAGAGAUUACUUGUUUUGAUCAUCAUGAUAGUUUUUUUAUGAUUAAUGCACUAGUAUGCAUAAUUACAUAUUAGACAAGGGUUAUGAUGAAUCAUGACUUUGGUUAUUAGGUAAUCAUAGGUCAUCAAAUUACUGUGUUACAUAGGUUCUCAAUCUUAGAGAAUGUGAACUAGAAGCAUGAACUAAGUGCUUAUCUGCAAAUGUGUGCAUUUAUGUACAACAUUGAAGCAAUACCACAACAAGGAUUUUAUAGCAUGGGUUGAGUAGGAUAUUGAAGUAUAGGAAGGUAGCUAGACCUUUUUAGAGAAUUAUUCUUGGUAUUGGAAAGGGUACUUACCCAUGGCAUGAUAAUUGGCAUCCAAUAGACAAUUUUUCUUUUAGGUUUUCUCUAAGAAAUUUUCAAGUCCUUAAUCCUGAUCAAGCAAAAGUGGACUCUCUAAUAACUAAAGGGACUUGAAAAUAGUCAAUUGGUAGAGGAGUUUAUGCCAACGUUGGGGGUAUCAUUGAUACUAUUCUAGCUUAUUUUUUACCUUAGUUGCAAUAAGAAGAUGAUCAAGUUUUCUUGACACCCACAAUUCACUACAUCUUCCUAUUCAACUGAGUAUUUUAGUAUGAUUAAUUAUACAUGUACAUUAGGCUUGACAAUCCAAGAUGUACUCUUUUGAUAUGUAUCUAAUUUAACUUUUAAUUCAAAGUUCAUUAUACUUUUCUUUUUCUAAAAGAUGCAAAGACUUUUUUUUUUUUUUUUCACAUUAUCAUGAUUAUUUAAAAAAAAAAUAGCCUUUAAACAUAACAAAAGCUUGAAUUAAAAGUUAAAAUAAGGAGCAUUCAAUUGAAGCAUGAGGUGUUAGAUCGACACCUUAUCUGCAUCAUAUCUCAUGUCUGGACCCCAUGUUGAAUUAUUGCCUUCACUUCCUUUUUUUUUUUUUUUUUUUGUUCUCUUUAUUUCCUUUGGUAGUGAUACUCCUUUUCUUAGUUAAUGAAAACUCCUUUGGUACUGAUAUUCCUUUUCUUAAUGAAAACCCAAGUGUCAUGAGAAUAUCUUCUAAUUUUAUAUAAAAUAUAUAUAAAGGAAAGAAAAUGCCCUUGUACGAUUAUAUUAAUUUUUCUCAUAGCUCUUCCUAGUCUAAAGUAUUAUUUUUCCGUAAGCAUUUGAUUGGUCAGUAUCUAAUUAAAUUUAUUAAUGAAAAUUUUAUGCUUCCCAAAUUAAUUUCUAAAAUGAGACGGACAUGAUGAGAUUAUUUAAAAAGAGAGUCUCUACAUAAAUAGGGUUGAUAAUUGAUCAUGGAAAGCUUAUUUAGUAAGACGUACAUACGUGCUCUGAAAUGUAAAAUUAUAAUUGAAGCAGCCAUUUUGAAAGAUGGAUCGAUGAAGCAGCUGACCGUGUUGAAUGUUGGUUAUCCACGCUUAGUCAUGGAGACAGUGACAUUUACGAACUCAGUCUUCUCUCUGGACAUGCGAUCAGCCACAAUCUUUUGGUACCUGCUGAACACUUCCUCUAUUAUUCCAUCACCGAAAUGGCUUACAAGCAAUGGCUCCGCCACUGCUCUCAUCAACUUAGCCACAUUGUACCCACCAUCUUUAUGAGCAUCUGAUGGGCAGAAUUCACCGUGAUACGCGUUCCAGUUAACUUCAGAAACCUCCAGCUUACUUAUGGUAAAGGAUCCUUCCUUUUCAACCUCACAUUUUACUUCAGCUGGGGAUGGUGUAUAUUGAGGAAUAUUGAAGGAAUCCA
rnacentral:lncRNA from 1 species